GGAGGUUGGGGGUCCCGUCCUCCGUGUGAGCUGGAGCUGCCUAGUCCAGAGGGGGGCUGAGCCCUCCAAGAAAGGAGUGUUGGAAAGAAACUGAAGAAAAUCUCAAAGAGAGAUUCUACUAACAUCAAACUCUUACCCCUUGUAUGAGUUGCUAGUAGCAUUGAGGAGAGUGCCUAAUUAGAGAUGUCCUCCUGCUUCCUCCAUAUCUGCCGCCUGACCCCCUGGACUUGGUCCCAAUCCUCCUUCAGUUGUGGUUGACUAUUGUUUGUUGAAAACCAUCUACAAGCACUAUUUUCUGGACUGCAUAACUGUAUUGUGCCUCUGUUAAGCAAUAUACGGUGCUACAUGGCCUGGGAAACACAGUGGCCACAAUACAUGCCAUGGCACCCAGAUACCACACUGAUGGGCAUAAUAUAGCAAUGUGACUGGAACUGAACUUUAUGCAAAGAUCAAUACUGUUUUUAAAAAAUCAGCAUAUAAAGAAUGAAGGCCUGAUUGUCCAAUCCAUUUUACACCAGUGUAACUCUACUUCUUUUGUAUGGCAUCUAUGAAAAUAAAGGAGGAUAAGCUCCUUGUAUAAUCCAGUCCUGAUCCUCUCGGAUAAAUCAGUGUCAUUCCCUUGCUCUUGCUUCUCUGAUGAAUGACUGUCCCCAGGACACACUGUAUAGCCCAUUUCAAAGCUUUCACACUGCAGUGUUUGAGCUCUUCAAGCUUACCUUAGGCCCCGGUGACCUCUCAGAGCAUAAGGAUUUCAAGUACCGUGAGGUUUUCAUGCUUGUCCUCAUCUUCAGCAACCUUUCAGAAGUGGUGUGCUAAGUCUUCAUUUAUUCACUCUAAUUUAAGGUUUUGCAUGCCAGUAAUACAUUUUAACAUUUUUAGAAGGUCUCUUUCUAUAAGUCUAUAAUAUAUAACUAAACUCUUGUUGUAUGUAAAGUAAAUAAGGUUUUUAAAAUGUUAAGCAGCUUCAUUUAAAAUUAAAUUAAAAUGCAGAGCCUCCCUGACUGGUGGCCAGGAGCCGGGUAGUGUGAGUGCCACUGAAAAAUCAACUUGCGUGCCACCUUCGGCACACGUGCCAUAGGUUGCCUACCCCUGUUCUAUGUGAUACUCACCUUUGUGCUCCUCUUAAACAUGCUGAUCCCGCUGAUAGGGGAGACAGUCAGCAGAGUGUGCCAAGAAAGUGUGAAAAUCUGGAGGCUCCAGGUGAGGCUCUUGCUUUCAAUCAGUUCAAAAUCAGUGACAAGCUAUUGUAAUAUGACAGAAAAUACACAAUAUUGCAUAUAUACUGUUGUUUCAUCUACCUCACUCCUUUCAUACUUUUCUUCCACCUCCCAAAGAACUGAAAAAAAUUAAAUGCCUAGUUCAUUUUGCUACUACAGGUAACAAAACUUUUAAACAAAUAAAUUCCUGGAAAUGGCUACAUCAUAGCAAGACCCCAGAACUGUCUCAGAAUAGAAGCUAUACAACAUGACACUAGAGAGACACAACACAUCCAUUGAGCCCGUAUUAUCCAAACCGGAUACAGAGUAAUUUCCUUUAAUAGACAAGAUCUAAAGUACUAGUGUAUGCCCAUAGAGUAUCAAUAAUAAUCAUGCAUCUGCAAGUGCCUUAAGUGGUAAAUAGAUGUCACCAUUUCUCCAUGUGAAGUUGGCUGUGUAAGUAUGAAGUGCUUUUUAAAAAGGUAGAAGUUCAUGCUAGAGAAUACUUAACAUUGCUUACAUUUGUACAUUUAUAAGUGGGAUUUUCAAAUGCUCUCAAACAAUGGCCUAAUGCUGCUCCCACUGUAGGUAAGGUCAUGGAGGAUAGGCCCAUCAAUGGCUAUUAGGCAAGAUGGUCAGGAACACAACCCCAUGCUAUGGGUGUACCUAAACCUCCAGCUUGCCAGAGGCUGGAACUGGAUUACAGAGGAUGGAUCACUCGAAACUAUCCUGUUCAUUCCUUCUAAAGCACCUGACAUUGGCCACUGUUGGAUGACAGAAUACUGGGCUAAGUGGACCAUUGGUCUGUCACAGUAUGGCCGUUCUUAUAGUCAGUGGGUGUGUUAUAAACAUACAGCUAUGGGUAGCAUAAAAUUCCUCCUGACCUGUAAAGGGUUAAGAAGCUCAGAUAACCUGGUUGGCACCUGACCGAAAGGACCAACAAGGGGAAAAGAUACUUUCAAAUCUGUGGGGGGAAGGUUUUUGUUUUCGUGUUCCUUAGUUCUCUCCCAGUCAGCGAGGAGCCAGGGCAGGAAAAAUACAUCUCCCUAAGCCUUAUCUGAACUAAGCAUCUAAUAUUACAGAAAUAGUAAGUAAUAGCAAGAAAAUGCGUUAGAUUAUCUUUUGUUUUAGCUUGUGAAUUUUUCCUGUGCUAAAAGGAAGGUUUAUCCCUGUUUUUGUAACUUUAAAGUUUUGCCUACAGAGAAAAUCCUCUGUGUUUAAAAUCUUUCUGUUACCCUGUAAAGUUAUCUUCCAUCCUAAUUUUACAAAGGUGAUUCUUUUAUCUUUUUUUAAAUAAACUUCUUUUAAGACCCUGAUUGUUUUUCAGUGUCCUAAAAACCCAGGCGGGUUGAUCUGUGCUCACUUUGUAAUCACUUGGUUAAGAUAGGAAGGAAUUUGUGCCUUGGAAAAGUUUUGUUACCUGGUAGAAAUAAGCUUAGGGGGUCUUUCAUGUGGGUCUCCACAUCUGUACCCUAGAGUUUAGAGUGGGGAGGAAACCCUGACAGGGUGUAUUACUAUUAACUUCAGUGUGAGCAGAGUUAAGAGCACCGACUGGAAAAUCCCACUGCAAGAGUACUAAUACCCCGCUCCAAACUUUCAAAACUUAGAAAAUUUUGUGCCGAUAGAAAGAUCUUCAGGCAGUGAGAACAUGCUGCAGUAACAGCCACAUGCUAGAGCAUACCCUGAAUGAUUCAUUGUUUGCCAUCAUGUUGACUCUACAUGGUAACUGUUUUCCAGAAAGCCAUGACCGCACUGGAUCUGGAAAUAAGUUUGCCAGUGUUCUGGAGAAAAUGGCUCCAAAGAAAAAAAAUUUGGCCCAGUACACUAAUUGGAUAUACCUGAUAAAAAGGAAGGUUCAAGGAGAGAUGUGGUGGGAAAAAGGGAACCUGAAGAAAGCAACACAUCAGUAGAUUAAUCUGAUGUCUGAAGAGAUGUUGGUUUCUUCAGUUCUUGUUGUAUGUAUAUACUCUUGUACUGCAAGUCAGAUUCCUUCUGCUUUUGCUUUGAACUGUAAAGUGGAAAGUUGCAAGUAAAUAUACUAUUUACUUCUCAAAGUAGAUAUAGAUAUUUAUACUCUUCUUUUCUCUUGCAAAUUGUAUUAUGUCAGCACAGAUAAAUAGGAACCUGACUAACUGUUGUGCAAACCAUAUCCUCCUAUAUUUUAUAUCUAUAUUAGCAUAAUGCACGUUAAUUUUUGGUGAGUGAUUGUUUCUCAGGGAGUUGACGAUAGAUUCCAUCCAAUAACCAAAACACAAUGAAUGCCGUAAUUUUGGACAUUAUAACAAUUAAGAUAAAAUCUAUUUAUCAGUAAAACCAUAUUUCUAUGUCAGUGCUACAGACCACGUGAUGACUGAAAACUUAUAUCGAGCAACCUGAGUAGCUGUGUUAGUAGCUGUGACAGUCUCUCUCCCAGGCAAGCCCCACAGGAGAAGGAUGCUAUGGGGCAUUUCACCAAGCAGUUGAGCCUCCAAAAGAUCAAUUAGGAUUAGAGAUGGGGAGCAAGCAGUGAAAUCCUACAGAGAGUUUUCUGUGUGUUGUUUGGGGCCAGCUAGGAAGCCUCAGUGUCUAGGCUGUUUGUAGUUUUUCCACUGGGAGGUGAGGAAGUUUUUCUUCUUGUGGGCAAAAAUACUCAGUUUAUUUCCUGCUUUUAACCAGCAUGUG